rnacentral:misc_RNA from 1 species
GAAAUGCGAUAAGUAAUGUGAAUUGCAGAAUUCCGUGAAUCAUCGAAUCUUUGAACGCACAUUGCGCCCUCUGGUAUUCCGGGGGGCAUGCCUGUCCGAGCGUCAUUGCGAACCCCUCAAGCACGGCUUGUGUGAUGGGCCCUCCCGCGUCUUGGUCGUCAAGACGGGCCCGAAAUGCAGUGGCGGCUUCGCGGUUAUCCGAUCAGCCAGAGCGUAUGGGGACUUUCUCUCUGUCACACGCCCGCGGCGCGGACCGACGCCUGUCGACCUUUAUUCAUCUUUUUCUCGGUUGACCUCGGAUCAGGUAGGGGUACCCGCUGAACUUAAGC